GGGUAGUUCUACUGCCGUAUUUUACCUUUUAGCCAUCAGCAAGCAUAGGAUCUCAUCUGGACAAGGUAGGGACCUAAAUGAAUUGAUCUAAAUGUAAAAGCAUAUGAAAAAAAAUGCAUGUUUUUUUUUUCUUUCCUAUCUAUGAAUAUGUAUAUCCUACUAAUAGAGACCACCAGUAGUUACCUCUGGUGAUUAUGAAACAGCAGGUUGAGUAAUCUCUAAAUAUCAGGAAAUGUAAAAAUCACAUGUUAUGCGUUUGGCUUAGGAAUGUGCUUUUUGUACUUCCACUUGAAUAAAGGUGUGUUUGAUACUUUGAGAA
rnacentral:lncRNA from 1 species